ACACAAAAUUAAAAAAUGCCCGUAAAUUUCUUGAGAAGGGCGAUAAAGUUAAAGCCGCUAUUCGUUUUCGCGGACGCGCCAUCACGCACUCAGAACUCGGAAGAGAUGUUUUGAUGCGUUUUGCUAAUGAGUGUGAAGAUCUUUCCACAAUCGAACAAAAACCGAAAAUGGAAGGCCGCAGCAUGUUUUUGAUGCUUGCACCGAAAACAGACGACAAAAAAUAAGUUAACAGCACCAUUUCAUUUCGGCCGCAACGGCCGCACCUGACAACAACAACGAUUACUACUGGACAGGAGGAAAUUCAUUAUGCCUA
rnacentral:misc_RNA from 1 species